AAUGAACGUUGGCGGCGUGGAUUAGGCAUGCAAGUCGUGCGAGAACCGUAGCAAUACGGGGACAGCGGCGAAAGGGAGAGUAACACGUGGAUACCUACCCUCGGGACCGGGAUAGCUACGGGAAACUGUAGGUAAUACCGGAUAACAUCCCCGGAUCAAAGGUGCGAUUCCGCCUGAGGAUGGGUUCGCGUCCUAUUAGCUAGUUGGUGAGGUAACGGCUCACCAAGGCGAUGAUGGGGUAUGGGGUGUGAGAGCAUGCCCCCACUCACUGGGACUGAGACACUGCCCAGACACCUACGGGUGGCA
rnacentral:rRNA from 1 species